rnacentral:rRNA from 1 species
CAUAUUGCACAAUGGGCGAAAGCCUGAUGCAGCAACGGCGCGUGAGUGAUGAAGGCCUUCGGGUCGUAAAGCUCGUUGAUCAGGGAUGAUAAUGACAGUACCUGAAAAACAAGCCACGGCUAACUACGUGCCAGCCGCCGCGGUAAUACGUAGGUGGCGAGCGUGUUCCGGAAUUACUGGGCGUAAAGGAUGCGGAGUUGGAUACUUAAGUGGUAUGUGAAAUCCCCGGGCUCAACCCGGGAACUGCAUUCCAAACUGGGUAUCUAGAGUGCAGGAGAGGAAAGAGGAAUUCCUAGUGUAGCGGUGAAAUGCGUAGAUAUUAGGAGGAACACCAGUGGCGAAGGCGGCUUUCUGGACUGUAACUGACACUGAGGCAUGAAAGCGUGGGUAGCAAACAGG